rnacentral:rRNA from 1 species
ACUCCUACGGGAGGCAGCAGUGGGAAUAUUGCACAAUGGGCGCAAGCCUGAUGCAGCCAUGCCGCGUGUAUGAAGAAGGCCUUCGGGUUGUAAAGUACUUUCAGCAGUGAGGAAGGUGGGUAUGUUAAUAGCAUAUUCUAUUUGUACGUUAGCUGCAGAAGAAGCACCGGCUAACUCCGUGCCAGCAGCCGCGGUAAUACGGAGGGUGCGAGCGUUAAUCGGAAUUACUGGGCGUAAAGCGCAUGCAGGUGGUUGUUAAGUCAGAUGUGAAAGCCCGGGGCUCAACCUCGGAAUUGCAUUUGAAACUGGCAAACUAGAGUACUGUAGAGGGGGUAGAAUUUCAGGUGUAGCGGUGAAAUGCGUAGAGAUCUGAAGGAUACCGGU